UGUGCCUGAGGCGGGAUGGCCCCGCUCCCCUGCAGCAUCCCCGGCAGCUCAGCGGGCCGGGCAGGGCGGCGGUGCUGGCUGUAUCCCGCUGCCGGGAGAGGCUGUGCAGCCGCUCCAGCCCGUCCGGACGCGAUCCCGGGCUGGCCCUACCGGAGCAGGGCGCGGGGAACCCAGCGGGCCCCGCCGUCCCGUCACCCUGGGCCCAGCCCGGGCUCCCGCGGCGGCCCGGCCCGCCUGACGGCGUUUUCCCCCGCAGACGAGGAUGACGUGCACAAGUGCGGGCGCUGCCAGUCGGAGUUCAGCUCGCUGCAGGAGUUCGUGCAGCACAAGCUGCAGAAGGGCUGCCAGCGCCCUCCCGACCCGCUCGCCGGACUCCUCGGCCAGGAGGGACAAAAGGUGGUUCCUGCUGUCGAGGAGUCCAUAACUGUUGCUCACAUCGUUGUUGAAGCAUCUUCCAUAGCAGAGGAGAUCAGCAACGCCUCGGCCAUCGUAGGCAGUGGGCACAUCAAAGAGGUCAUUGUAGCAGGAGACCAUGUGUUUGAGAACCCGAAUGGCCACGUGGAUGGGGAGGUCAGUGAGGAGCAGGGCAGCCCCGAGGAGCAGGAGCAGGACAUUUCCACUGAGCUGAUCAAGGUCAAGCUGCAGGUGAACAAGGAAGGGCGAUACGUGUGCGAGCUGUGCCAGAAGACAUUUAAAACUGCCAGCAUCCUCAAAGCUCACAUGAUCACUCACAGCAGCAGGAAGGACUAUGAGUGUAAACUCUGUGGCACUUCCUUUAGGACAAAGGGGUCUCUGAUCCGACACCAUCGGCGGCACACGGAUGAAAGACCUUACAAAUGCAAGAAAUGUGGGAAAAGCUUCCGGGAAUCGGGAGCUUUGACUCGGCACCUUAAAUCUCUGACACCUUGCACUGAAAAAAUCCGCUUCAACAUGACCAAAGAAAUAGUUGUCAACAAGGAUGAUCUGCCAUCAGGAUCCUGCAGCUCCAACACAGACACGGUGUCCUCGAUAGCGAGCGAAUCCAUCGAGGCCUCCCCUGUCAUCCACCUCGUGACAGAUGCAAAAGGCAACGUGCUCCAUGAAGUCCAUGUCCAGAUGCAGGAACUUCCCGUGGUGGAUGCUAAACCCCUGGAGCCAGAUCAGCCGCAUCCCGAGGAGCUGCCCUGUGAGGGGGAAGUGAACAGUGAGAACCUGCUGAGGCAGGCCAUGAGGAAUUCGGGAAUUGUCAUUGAGAGAGUGGCUGUGGAGGAGGUGCAGAAGCCAGAUGAACCUGCAGCAGCUGCUCCAGAAGAGCUGGAAAACAAAGGGGUGGAAGUAGAAGAGGAGCCAUGUGGGGAGCAGUGUGCUAAACUGGAAGGAGCAGAGUCUCAGACACCUGCAGAAAGAACCAACGGGUACAAACGUUAUGUUUGCUUUCACUGUAAUGAAGCCUUCAAUGAAGCUGCUGCCCUGGAAACUCACAGCAAGGGGCACACAGAGUACAAACCCUUCAAGUGUGAGGAGUGUGGCAAGGAGUUCACCAAGGGCUACCUGCUGAAGAAGCACCAGGAGGUGCACGUGAACGAGCGGCGGUUCCGCUGUGGGGAGUGUGGGAAGCUCUACAAGACCAUUGCCCACGUCAAGGGGCACCGGCGCGUGCACUCGGACGAGCGGCCCUACGCCUGCCCCAAGUGUGGCAAGCGCUACAAGACAAAGAACGCCCAGCAGGUGCAUUUCCGUACCCACCUGGAGGACAAGCCCUACGUGUGCCAGUUCUGCAGCCGGGGUUUCCGGGAGAAGGGCUCCCUGGUGCGCCACAUCCGCCACCACACCGGAGAGAAGCCCUUCAAGUGCUACAAGUGCGGGCGCGGCUUCGCCGAGCACGGCACCCUCAACAGGCACCUCAAAACCAAAGGUGGCUGCCUCCUUGCUAUGAAAGAGGUGGAAGAAGUGGUAGUGUCAGAGGAGAGUCAGUCUGCUGACAACUUGGCAGCCACGGUCCUUUCGGAAGAUCCACACACGGUUCUGGUGGAGUUCUCCUCGGUGGUGGCAGACACCCAGGAGUACAUCAUCGAGACUUCUACUGAGGACAUGGAGACCAGCGAGGCUACUGAAAUAAUAGAGGGAACAAGGCAUGAGGUCGACAGCCACAUCAUGAAGGUGGUGCAGCAGAUCGUGAACCAGGCCAACUCCGGCCACCAGAUCAUCGUGCAGAACGUCACCGUGGCCGAGGGCGCCGCGGCCGCCGACGCCGGCGACACCAUCACCAUCGCCACGCCCGAGAGCCUCACCGAGCAGGUGGCCAUGACCCUGGCCUCGGCCAUCGGCGACGGAGCCGUGCUGGCCACCGAGGGCGGGCUGGCCGCGCAGGAGGCCACCGUCACCAUGGUGGCGUCCGAGGACAUCGAGAUCAUGGAGCACGCGGGGGAGUUCGUGAUCGCCGCCUCGCAGGAGGGCGAGGUGGAGAAGAAUUUCUGGAAGGAGAGGAGAACAGGGACACUUUAAUUUCCUUCCUGAAGUUAAUGCUCCAAAGCUGCAGUAGGACAUGGUUUCUGCAGGACGAGUGUGAGCAGGAUGACGAAGCCCAGCAUGAAGACAAUCCUAGGGAAAGUCAAGAAAAGGUGCUGCAGAGAGAGAGAAAAGUAAGUUAAAAUGUGGGAGGGUUGAAUCCCAGGAGCACUGCACAGCCCCAGCUGGAAGGCACAUCCAUGUGCUGGUGGAGUUAUCUGCAUCCCAGGUGUGUCCUGCUUUAACAGCUCCACAAAGGAACCUCAGGGACUCUCAGCUGUUUCCUAAACUUCACCACAUCAGCUGGUCUUUGGAAUGGAAAUUCCUUCUCUAUGAACCAGAUCUGCCAAGUGGAGACAGGAAUCUGUAGGAUGGCAUGCACUGUGAGAAAAUUCCCCCAUUUUUAAAGUAUGUGGUGCAUUUCAGCAGCUUUCUAAGCCUAGUUAGAUGUGUAAAACAGCUGAAAACCUGCAGUGUGUCCCAAAGCCCUGCAGUCCCUCCCCACGCUGGGGGAGCAGGACAUUCCUGCCAGCAAAGCACCAGACAACAUUUUACAGCUGACCUGAACGAGGAAGGCGAUCUCCACAGGGUGCUCCUGCCCCUGGGCAUCCAGGUAGGAGCCGUGCAUGAUGUUGGAGAGCAGCAGCACCUGGGUGAGGAGUGCAGCUGUGACAGCAGCCAGGGCUGCAGCGAUGCCUGUCAGGGACAGCAGGUACAGCAGGAACACGCCGGCGUUGGAGGCUCCAAUGCAGUUGUUGACCCACACACAGUGGUGGUCAAAGCGAUGCACACACGUCCUGCAGACACCUCCAGGAGGCAGGGGCAAAACCAGCGUCUCAGCACUUUUUAAAGUUAGCAGUUUGAGCUUUAUGUGGGUUUUUUUUAAGCUGGAUGUAUGUGGGAGUUGCAGUCAGGGUUUAGCUGGCAGCUUUUGAAGCAAAUGAAUUCAAUUGUGUAUCCUAAGAAAAACAAUGUAUUCCAUUUCCUCUGUUAUUCACCCAGACUGCAGCUCCAAGGCUUUGUUUUCUCUCACAGUAAUGCCUGUCAAAGCACUUGAAAGGUAGAGUUUGUGGCUCCCAGCUUUAUUUUAGAUUAUAAAAGGAGGAUGUGGACUUCUCAUCCCUGCCAGGCUGGACAGGGCUCGCAGCACACAGUGGAAGGUGUCCCUGCCCUGGCAGGGGGUGACAUGAGAUGGGCUUCAAAGAUCCCUCCCAGCCCCAACCAUUACAGGAUUCUGUGACUGUGAAACAGAAAAUCCUGACCUGGGGUCCUGACAGGUGAUAAUUUCUCAUUUAAAUUCCAGCUGCUCACAAGCUCAGCUGUUCCUGACCCUGAAAUAUCCCUCAGAACUGGUGAUUUCUGUGAGAAGAAAAAGCACCCAAGCAGCUCCGUGGAUGCAGCUGUGACAUGGGACCCCAGGAAAACAGAGCCCUGUGAGCACUGAGCUGAUAACAGAACAGCUGUAGUGGGAACUGCAGCUCCUGGGGGAGAAUUCCUUUGGGAAGGUCCUACUGCCAUGGUUAUCAAGGAAUUUCAGAUCCUUACUGCAGUGCUUGGACCUGGCUGGCUUCUCCACAGAGCACGUGGGACACACGAGGCCUCUCUGAAACAACACCCCAUCAUAGGCAUAAACCUCCACCAGGGAUGCAGCAUUGGAUUUUGUCACUGCACCUGCAAAAACAGACAAUAAAAAGAACUAAGAAAUGGGA